GACGAACGCUGGCGGCGUGCUUAACACAUGCAAGUCGAACGGAAAGGCCCUGCUUUUGUGGGGUGCUCGAGUGGCGAACGGGUGAGUAACACGUGAGUAACCUGCCCUUGACUUUGGGAUAACUUCAGGAAACUGGGGCUAAUACCGGAUAGGAGCUCCUGCUGCAUGGGGGGGGUUGGAGAGUUUCGGCGGUGGGGGAUGGUCUCGCGGCUUAUCAGCUUGUUGGUGGGGUAGUGGCGUACCAAGGCUUUGACGGGUAGCCGGCCUGGGAGGGUGACCGGCCACAUUGCGACUGAGAUACGGCCCAGACUCCUACGGGACGCAGCAGUGGGGAGUAUUGCACAAUGGGCGGAAGCCUGAUGCAGCAACGCCGCGUGCGGGAUGACGGCCUUCGGGUUGUAAACCGCUUUCGCCUGUGACGAAGCGUGAGUGACGGUAAUGGGUAAAGAAGCACCGGCUAACUACGUG
rnacentral:rRNA from 1 species